rnacentral:tRNA from 2 species
CGCGGGGUGGAGCAGUUUGGCAGCUCGUCGGGCUCAUAACCCGAAGGUCGUAGGUUCAAAUCCUACCCCCGCAA